UACGUAGGUGGCAAGCGUUGUCCGGAAUUAUUGGGUGUAAAGGGUGCGUAGGCGGGGAUAUAAGUCAGAUGUGAAAUUCCAGGGCUUAACUUUGGAGCUGCAACUGAAACUAUAUUUCUUGAGUGUCGGAGAGGAAAGUGGAAGUUCUAGUGUAGCGGUGAAAUGCGUAGAUAUUAGGAGGAACACCAGUGGCGAAGGCGACUUUCUGGACGAUAACUGACGCUGAGGCACGAAAGCGUGGGGAGCAAACAGG
rnacentral:rRNA from 1 species